rnacentral:rRNA from 1 species
CCUACGGGUAGCAGCAGUCGAGAAUUUUUCUCAAUGGGGGAAACCCUGAAGGAGCGACGCCGCGUGGAGGAUGAAGGUCUUCGGAUUGUAAACUCCUGUCAUUUGGGAACUAGUACCAGAAGAGGAAGAGACGGCUAACUCUGUGCCAGCAGCCGCGGUAAUACAGAGGUCUCAAGCGUUGUUCGGAUUCAUUGGGCGUAAAGGGAGCGUAGGUGGCGGGGUAAGUCAGGUGUGAAAUCUCGGGGCUCAACCUCGAAACUGCACUUGAUACUGCUCUGCUUGAGUACUGGAGAGGGGAUUGGAAUUUACGGUGUAGCAGUGAAAUGCGUAGAUAUCGUAAGGAAGACCAGUGGCGAAGGCGAAUCUCUGGACAGUACUGACACUAAGGCUCGAAGGCCAGGGGAGCAAACGGGAUUAGAUACCCUGGUAGUC